rnacentral:rRNA from 1 species
UAUCCGGAAUUAUUGGGCGUAAAGGGCUCGUAGGCGGUUCGUCGCGUCCGGUGUGAAAGUCCAUCGCUUAACGGUGGAUCCGCGCCGGGUACGGGCGGGCUUGAGUGCGGUAGGGGAGACUGGAAUUCCCGGUGUAACGGUGGAAUGUGUAGAUAUCGGGAAGAACACCAAUGGCGAAGGCAGGUCUCUGGGCCGUUACUGACGCUGAGGAGCGAAAGCGUGGGGAGCGAACAGGAUUAGAUACCCUGGUAGUCCACGCCGUAAACGGUGGAUGCUGGAUGUGGGGCCCGUUCCACGGGUUCCGUGUCGGGGCUACGCGUGAAGCAUC